rnacentral:rRNA from 1 species
AACGAACGCUGGCGGCAUGCCUAACACAUGCAAGUCGAACGAGACCUUCGGGUCUAGUGGCGCACGGGUGCGUAACGCGUGGGAACCUGCCCUUAGGUUCGGAAUAACUCCCCGAAAGGGGUGCUAAUACCGGAUAAUGUCUUCGGACCAAAGAUUUAUCGCCUUUGGAUGGGCCCGCGUUGGAUUAGCUAGUUGGUAGGGUAAAAGCCUACCAAGGCGACGAUCCAUAGCUGGUCUGAGAGGAUGAUCAGCCACACUGGGACUGAGACACGGCCCAGACUCCUACGGGAGGCAGCAGUGGGGAAUAUUGGACAAUGGGCGAAAGCCUGAUCCAGCAAUGCCGGGUGAGUGAUGAGGGCCUUAGGGUUGUAAAGCUCUUUUACCCGGGAUGAUAAUGACAGUACCGGGAGAAUAAGCACCGGCUAACUCCGUG